AUGCCACUGCCAGCACACACUAGCCGACCCCAGAGCAACAACGCCAUGGCCGCAGCGAGCUUCCUCUUCCUAACCAUCCUAGCUGCAGCCAUCACCACCGCCUACUCCGUUGACAGCACGAGCGAAAUAUCCAACGGGAGCUGCAUCCCGGCCGAGAGAGCCGCGCUGCUCUCCUUCAAGGCCGGCAUCACGCGUGACCCAGACAAUCUCCUUGUCUCAUGGCAGCAAGGUGUGCACGACUGCUGCCGGUGGAGCGGCGUCACCUGCAGCCGGACAGGCCACGUCCUCAUGCUUGACCUCCCCUAUGAUGAUCCAAUUCCAACAAGUUAUGAUUUCCUUGGUUUCGAUGGUUACCCUAAAGACCACUCGCUACGUGGACAGGUAUCUUCUUCGCUGCUUGCUCUCCAACAUCUCAAGCAUCUAGAUUUGAGCGGGAAUAUUCUUCUUGGAGGUGAAAUGGCUAUGCCGGGAUUCUUGGCCUCUCUCCAGAGUUUGACUUAUUUAAACCUCUCCAAUAUGGGUUUUCGUGGUAGAGUGCCUCCUCACCUAGGCAACCUCUCCAAACUGGUACACCUUGACAUAGAGGGGUACACGUACACUGAUCUAUACUCAAAGGAUAUAUCUUGGUUAGCGCGUCUUCAAUCCCUGCAUCAUCUUAAUAUGGGCUCCGUCGACCUCAGUGGAGUUGUUGACUGGGUCCAUACAGUCGGCGCCAUCCCCAAUCUGGCUGUAAUGAUUCUGUCUUCAUGUGGUCUUCAUAAGAUGAGUACUCCAUCAUCACUUCAACACCACAACCUUACGGUUCUUGAGGAGCUUGAACUCUCAGCCAACUCUUUAAACAGUCGGGCUGAACACAAUUGGUUCUGGGAUGUUACUAGCCUCAGGAGGCUAAGCUUAGAGGGUUGUGGAUUACCGGGCACGUUUCCUGAUGAGUUGGGAAACUUGACCUUGUUAGAGACCUUUAACAUUGACGACAACAACAUCCAGGGGAUGAUACCAGGAACACUAAAAAAUAUGUGUAAUUUAAUGUCUCUAGAUUUCAGCAACAACAACAUCGACGGGGACAUAAAAGAGGUGAUUGGCAGGAUGCCCAACAGUUAA
rnacentral:rRNA from 1 species